rnacentral:rRNA from 1 species
GAGUUCGUAGGCGGWUUGUCGCGUCGUUUGUGAAACCAGYAGCUCAACUGCUGGCUUGCAGGCGAUACGGGCAGACUUGAGUACUGCWGGGGAGACUGGAAUUCCUGGUGUAGCGGUGAAAUGCGCAGAUAUCASGAGGAACACCGGUGGCGAAGGCGGGUCUCUGGGCAGUAACUGACGCUGAGGAACGAAAGCGUGGGUAGCGAACAGGAUUAGAUACCCUGGUAGUCCACGCCGUAAACGGUGGGCGCUAGGUGUGGGUUCCUUCCACGGAAUCCGUGCCGUAGCUAACGCAU